AAGGGGGGUGGGCGGGCGCCCUGCCCCCGAGCCCGAAUCGCUUCCCGUGGCUUCUGGAUCCUUCUAGAUUGAGGAAAAUUGCGCGGCACGUAAUUAUGUCGUCGUAAACAUGACAUGUGGGCCUUCUCUCCAUAUUUUCUGAUAAACCCCUGUAGAAAUAGAUAAACACCAAAACUCGUGGAAUUCUGUCAGAUAAAACCCUAAUUCUAGAUGUUUGCUUCAUAUUGAUCCUUUUUCAUGUUUAUUUGAUUAUUAAUUUUAGUACUUAAGGACCGUCAACAAACUCCCCCAAGCUUACCCUUUGCUCGUCCCUGAGCAAACAGCUAAACUCAGACGGAUCAGGAGUUGCUUCGAUGUUUUCUUUCCUGACAGGCACACAUGCUUUUACAUAAAAAUUCUUCCAGAUUAGAGUGAAGUGUUAUGGAGUUUAGUACCUGCACUUAAAUCUUAAGUAAUCAAAAGACAAAAUAGUUAAGUCAAGCACUAUCCCUCCUGUCUAUACUUCACCUUUGUUCCAGAGUUUUUCAUUAGUUUUCAAAAUAAAACUCAGAGUUCCCAGCAAUGAUUCUCUCAAGUCUCUCUAUAUGUGGUAUUUGUGGAUCCUUACCAUGAUAUCACUUACCUAUAGCUAAUGGAAUAUUUAAGUGGAGCUCAUAGGAGUGAAAACAGCUCAUACAUAUGUUGUCUAAUCGAGCCAUGGAUCCAAAGGAACUCAGCAUAUAAUUAAAUCAAGAUGUGCAUGUGUGGUGGAGUAAAUGAUAGUGAUGAUGAAAAUGCAUAAGUGAUAAUAAAACUUAGUUCUCAUUGCUCCUUAUAUUGCUAUCUCUUCUCUUCUUUGAUCUUUGCUUUGGGAGAACAUGGGCUAUCUUUUUCUCUUUCUUUUUUUUCAGGUGGGUAGUAGAUACCCCUAAUUCUACUAUCGGACACUUGUCCAUUUUUUUCGCUCAAGUGGGUAUUUUUUGUACCCCUAAUUCUACUUCGGACACUUGUCCAUUUUUACCUCUCGUCUCACUCUUUUUCUUUCUUUUCCGAGGUUCCGGGCACUUGCCCCUUUUUAUUUCCUCGUAUAUUUUUGCAUAACCCAUGCCUCUUCUGCAUUAAAUCUUUUUAGAGAGAGAGAAUAACAAUACUUGGGACAGUGAGUGAUAAUAUAUUUUUAGCAAUUUUAAUGAUCGAUGAUGAAUGCUGUGGUUGAUGUGUGCAAGUGAAUAUCUUAAUUUAACCACAUGAAAAGCUCCUAAGGGUCUACACAGCUCGAUCAAACUCAAUGUAAGUAUAGUAAAAGAUGUUAUAGCAAGUAUGGCUGUGGUAGGUAGUUUUGUUAUGCUAGGAACUCAUCAUGUGAUUUGUAAGUUUUUAAAAUAAAUCUCCAGAACUUAGUGUAGUAGGAACAAGAUAAACAGUAGCUCAACUUUAUAUCAUGACUUUCUCUUACCUAGACUUUAGUUUUAUGCUUCCCAAAGAUAGUAAGUUUAGUUUUAGUAAUUCCUGGAAGAACUCUAAUAUAAAAGCUAGGUACUUGUAAGUAAGCAAACAGAGCAACUGUUCAUUAUUUCCAUCAUGCAUAUUUUUGAUCUUUUUAUUUUUUCUAGAGAUUAAACUUAGCAGAAAAAUAAAGCACACUUAUCUACACAUUCUUUUUAUUUUGUUUUCAUGUUUAUAAAGUGCAGUAAAUUAAAGUAAGAAAAUAUUUAUUUGGUUUUCUAAGUUUUUUUCCUUUUAAGAUAAAUUAAAUACUAAGAUAGAAUAGAAUAAAUGAGAAGAGCAAAUAGAAACUUACUUGAUAAAUUUAGGGAGGAACUCCCCCAAGCUGGAUGUUGACGUCGGUCUUACCCGAUGUUCCAGAACCGCAUCAUGGUUGUGAUGUUGUCGUUCAUUGUUGUUGUAUCUUGUCUCAGCUCUUGCACUGCAGCGGCAUGGUCCUGGUUCCAUUUUUGUUGCUCUUCUAGGUGUCUUCCAUGUUCUGCUUGCAUGUUCUGGAUGUCGAGGAGGGUGUUGUCGGUACGAGUGAAGAAAGCACCGGCCUCUUGAUAGUAGUCAUUCGUGAAGGCGUAGGAGGCGUCGGAGUAUCGUCCUGCAUCAAAUUGGGGUGGAGGUCUGGAUCCUGAAGCUCCAUAUCAAGUGCGUUCUCGGUGAGUGGUUAUCCUUUCAGAUGCCACUCGCUGUGGAGUUCUCUGGUUCACUGGUGUUGUUGCAAUCUCAAUCAAAAAGUUUUGUGCACAACGUAGAGGCCAAGGUUCGGGUUAGGUAACCGAAUCUUGCCUUUAUCAUCAUAUAGCAUAUACAUUAUAUUCCCCUCUUUCUUUAACAUCCGAGCUUGUCUAAAUGUGUCA
rnacentral:lncRNA from 1 species